rnacentral:lncRNA from 1 species
UUAAAUACUUCGAGUAAAAACGAAUUUCCACCAAUUUUCUCAAGUAUGCGCUCGUCACCUCACGUACGAGGCAUUUAAGUACCAAAAAUCAUGUCCUAAGGGGAAGAAGUCCCCCACACAAGCCUAGACAAGCCACUUAACAUGAACCAGCUCAAUAUCAACUAGAAACCACGCCUUUAUCAUGAGUAUCUGACUCCAAAUGGCCCAAUUCUAUUCAUUUCAAUUACAUCUCGUAAAUAACAUCUCAAGCAACUAAUUCCACUAUUUAAAUUCAAAGACAAGACAUAAAUUAGGUAAAAUGACAAAAACACCUCUCAGGCGAAUGUGGUCAAAACCCGAAGUUCAAACUUAAAUAUAGUUACCCAUUCCCCCACGAAUCCAAUUAUGUGAUUAGUUUUGAAAUCACACCUCGGAUUCAGGUCCAACCCCUAAUUUUAGCAAAGUCUUAGGUUCUACCCAAUAUACCCAAAUUUCCCCAUUAAAAUCUUCGAUUUGAUGUUGAAAUUAUGUUAAAGAUGUUAAGGAGUGAAGAAAAUGAGUUAGAAAUAACUUACCAAUCAUUUUGAAGAAGAAUAAUUGCUUAGAAAAUAGCCACUUAGGGUUUUUUUUUUUAAAGUGAGAAAUAACUGAAAAUUCCGUGUAUUUAUACUCUCUGACGCCCCAGUGCAAACCACACAAACAGGACCGCGGUCGCGCUUGAAAACUGGGAAAUUUGCUACCCUCUGAAACCCCCCAGUGCAGACCGUGCAAAAAAAGGAUCGUGGCCGCGUUGGUGGAACUGAAGACUGUUGGUUCUCUAAAGCUUGCCGCGUGGACUGCACGAGGAUGACUGCGGUCGUGCAGCACACACUGCGGACUGUGUUAUGGCAAACACAGCCAUGCAACGCACACCGCAGACCGCGCUAAGGCGACCGUGGGCACGCUGGAGACUGCAUUUUUCCUUACAUGCAAUAUCUGGUGUUUUAAAGUCUAAGACCUCCUGGAACCUACUCGAAACUCACAUAAGCUCUCGGGGCUCCAAACCAAACAUACGCACAACCUUGAGUACACCCUACGAACUCAUCCGCGUGAUCAAAUCGCCAAAUAAUAUCAUAUAUAUCAAAUCAAGCCUCAAAGCUCAUGAUUUCUUCUCAAAUAUUUCAUACGACAUAACAUUCCCAUUCUGGGUGCGAAACACGUCAACCGACGUCCGUUCUCAUCCAAACUUUACAAAAAAUGCUUAAAUUAUAUAUAAGACUUGUACCGAGUACCGAAACCAAAAUACGGGCCCAAUACCCUAGUACUAAUCAAAUUUUGUUUCCAUUUCCCUUCAUUAUUUUCCAGAAAAUAAUUUCACAUAAAAAUUUAUUUCUCAGACUUGGGACGUCGGAAUUCGAUUCCGACUAUACGCUCAAGUCUUAUAUUUUUCCACGGACCCUCCGUGACCAUCGAAUCACAGGUCUGGGUCUGUUUACCAAAACGUUGAUCGAAGUCAAAUUUAUUCAAUUAGUAUCAAAAUUUAGCAGUUUUCUUACAGAAUUUGUAUAUAAGUUUUGUGGUUACGUGUUGGAACCGCGCACAUAAACCGAGACAACCCGAGAGGAAGUUUUAAGGCCUCGAAAGUAAAGAACAAAAAAUAAAUAAGUGAUAACCCCAUUGGGUUG